CAGGGACCACCCUUUGCACUCAGUAGGCCUUUGUUUUCCUGCGUGGAAAGCGGUUGGGCUUGGGAGGCGAUGGAGCCGGAGUUCUUGUACGACCUGCUGCAGCUCCCCAAGGGGGUGGAGCCCCCAGCGGAGGAGGAGCUCUCAAAAGAGCUAGAACCUCUUCUCUCCAGAUGAGAGACGGUGUGGAUUACGAUGGUGAAUACUGAUUGCUCUCAUCCUGUGAGCCUUCUGAGUGCCCCUACUGCACCAGCACCUCUUACCAAUAGCAACUCAUUUAUUCUCAAGGGCGGGCAUCAGUGCCUGCUUUAUACAGAUGAGGAAACUGAGGCACAAGGGGUGACGUGCCACAGUAACAGGAAACUCUUAGCAAGUGGUGGACCUGGGUUCUGAGCCCAAGGAGGGUGGUCCCAGAACUGAGGUUCCACACGGACCACGCAGCGAUGCCCACCAUGGAGUGAUACUUUGCAGGGUGUGGGGCUCCUGACGUGCUCCCCUCACACGUGUGGGUCCCUUUCAAAAGUGGGGUGAGCAUAGGAUGGAGCAAUUCAACGACUAUAGGUCGCCCUUUCAGUAAAGCUCUGUGUCAUGAGCCCUUUGGGGGGUUGGCGGCCACAGUUCCUGCAACCUCCCUUCUAGGAGAUGGCUCAAAAGAAGGACAUGGGCAGGUACCCAGAGCUGUCACCCUCUCUGUGUUCUCUGAAAGAAACAAAUGAACAACAGCUUGCAAGGAAGCAGCGAGAUGUCCCAGUGGGGAAGGGCUUUAGGUGAACUCAUUGGAAUUUAUGUAACCACAAAAACAUAAAUGUGCUGACAAAGAAAA
rnacentral:lncRNA from 1 species